GAUGAAGAACGUAGCGAAAUGCGAUAAGUAAUGUGAAUUGCAGAAUUCAGUGAAUCAUCGAAUCUUUGAACGCACAUUGCGCCCGCCAGUAUUCUGGCGAGCAUGCCUGUCCGAGCGUCAUUUCAACCAUCAAGCCCCGGGCUUGUGUUGGGGACCUGCGUCCGACGCAGGCCCUGAAAACCAGUGGCGGGCUCGCUGUCCACACCGAGCGUAGUAACUAACCUCGCUAUGGAGUGGCGCGGGCGCCUGCCGUAAAACCCCCAAUUUCACAAGGUUGACCUCGGAUCAGGUAGGAAUACCCGCUGAACUUAAGCAUAUCAAUAAGCGGAGGA
rnacentral:misc_RNA from 1 species